GAUGAACGCUGGCGGCGUGCCUAAUACAUGCAAGUCGAGCGAGAUGUUAGCACAUGAACCUUCGGGGGAUUAUGCUAACGGACAGCGGCGGACGGGUGAGUAACGCGUAGGCAACCUGCCCCUGACAGAGGGAUAGCCAUUGGAAACGAUGAUUAAAACCUCAUGACACCGUAGAAGCACAUGCUUCAUCGGUCAAAGAUUUAUCGGUCAGGGAUGGGCCUGCGUCUGAUUAACUAGUUGGUGAGGUAACGGCUCACCAAGGUGACGAUCAGUAGCCGACCUGAGAGGGUGAUCGGCCACAUUGGAACUGAGACACGGUCCAAACUUCUACGGAAGGCAGCAGUAGGGAAUCUUGCACAAUGGGCGAAAGCCUGAUGCAGCAACGCCGCGUGAAGGAUGAAGGCCUUCGGGUUGUAAACUUCUGUUCUAAGGGAAGAAACAAAUGACGGUACCUUAGGAGCAAGCCCCGGCUAACUACGUGCCAGCAGCCGCGGUAAUACGUAGGGGGCAAGCGUUAUCCGGAAUUAUUGGGCGUAAAGAGUGCGUAGGUGGUUACCUAAGCGCAAGGUUUAAUUUAGAGGCUCAACCUCUACUUGCCUUGCGAACUGGGCUACUUGAGUGCAGGAGGGGAAAGCGGAAUUCCUAGUGUAGCGGUGAAAUGCGUAGAUAUUAGGAGGAACACCAGCGGCGAAGGCGGCUUUCUGGACUGUAACUGACACUGAGGCACGAAAGCGUGGGUAGCAAACAUG
rnacentral:rRNA from 1 species